UUUUAACACCCAUGAGACGCAAGUAACCUGACUGGUGGGAUGGCUUGUGCCUGCACCAUCGACCGACCAUGAUCUUCUGUGAAAGGUUUGAGUACGAGCAUACCUGUUGGGACCCGAAAGAUGGUGAACUAUGCCUGAGCAGGGCGAAGCCAGAGGAAACUCUGGUGGAGGCUCGUAGAUGUGCUGACGUGCAAAUCGCUUUUCGGACUUGGGUAUAGGGGCGAAAGACUAAUCGAACCAUCUAGUAGCUGGUUCCCUCCGAAGUUUCCCCCAGGAUAGCUGGAGCUUGAUCAGUUUUAUCAGGUAAAGCGAAUGAUUAGAGGUACCGGGGAUGAAACAUCCUCGACCUAUUCUCAAACUUUAAAUAGGUAAGACGUCUGGGUUGCUUAAUUGAACCCAGGCAUUCAAUGAGAGCUCCAAGUGGGCCAUUUUUGGUAAGCAGAACUGGCGAUGCGGGAUGAACCGAAAGCUGAGUUAAGGCA
rnacentral:rRNA from 1 species